ACAGAGAUAAAUUAAAAGACAAACCAAUCAAAACUUGACUGCACACAACCAAGCUCAAGGCAGUGAAACAUUUAAAUUUCAAUACAGGACAUUAUCACUGGAUUUUUACUCGUCUUAGUUGGCGCUAUUAUGAAUACUAUCGCUGGACUUCUAUAUUUGUAGGCAUUGAAAAUUAAAAUAUGCAGAUUAUCACUUAUGGGUGAAUAACAAAAGGAUAUUUUCACAGGAUUUAUAAUUGUUUUGCAGGCAAUUAUGAUAAUAAAAUCGAGUUUUCUAUUUUGAAUGAUUUUUGACAGGGAAUCAUCGACGAAUAUCUACUUAUAGUCACUAUUAUGGGGGAAUAUUGAGAGGACAUUAUAGUUAUUGUGGAUGAAAAUUGACAGGACAUAAUCAUUCAACCUUUUAAGUGUAUUUGUAUGCAACGUUAAUAUUUAAAAUUGUCACUGAGUUAAUAGUGGAAUGGUGUCAUGAUGGGCGUGUCUCGGAAUCUUGGUGGGUUCCGAUCAGCUGCUUUGAAGCAAACAACGAAUGGCGGACGGGCCUGGCAGUACAACACCACCUUCCCUGUGAAUAAGCUUCCCACCGCUAUACAUCAUCCUCUAACCCCUCACUAACGCUGCACCAAGGCCUUAAUAUCACCAUGGGUCAGGUCACGUCUCUGGGCGGCCCCGUGAAGCUCUAUAUUGAGACCUGGCGGAGGUGUCUGCAAGCUUGGUGGUGGAGGUGUCUGCAAGCUUAGUGGUGGAGGCGAGGGAGGUGGUGGAUCCCCCGAAGCUGGCCUUUAGUAGUUUUUCUUCCAUCCGACGGACUGUCUUUCGAUUCCUCUCAACCUCCUGGCGCAGCUUGUGGACCUCCUGUGGGGAAUGAAGUGCAUUGUUGUCAAUCUUGAGUUGUCGUACGUGGUGGAUCUUCUGCUUCUGGUUCUGGUGUCCGAGCAGCGUUGCGUACUGGCGGCUCAGUUUGUCCACCUCAUCCUUGGCUGCACUGCUCUGCUCCAACAGGCCAUUCUUCU